GGAUCAACAAUAGUAUCAGCCAGCCCCGAUAAGACUGUUAGGGCAUGGGAUGUAGAAACAGGGAAACAAAUAAAGAAAAUGGCUGAACAUUCCUCGUUUGUUAACUCAUGCUGCCCAGCUCGUAGGGGCCCUCCUCUUAUUGUUAGCGGAUCUGAUGAUGGCACUGCUAAACUUUGGGAUAUGCGCCAAAGAGGAGCCAUACAAACAUUUCCAGACAAAUUUCAAAUUACUGCCGUCAGUUUCUCUGAUGCCUCCGAUAAAAUCUGCACAGGUGGUAUUGACAAUGAUGUAAAAUUGUGGGAUUUACGAAGGUGUGAAGUAACUAUGACUCUUCAAGGCCAUCAAGAUACUAUAACUGGUAUGCAGCUGAGUCCUGAUGGGUCUUAUCUUCUUACUAAUGCCAUGGAUUGCACGCUUCGCAUAUGGGACAUGCGCCCUUAUGCCCCCCAAAAUCGAUGUGUCAAGAUCUUGGAAGGCCACCAACACAAUUUUGAAAAGAACUUACUGAAAUGUAGUUGGUCGCCUGAUGGAAGUAAGGUAACAGGUGGGAGUUCUGAUCGCAUGGUUUAUGUUUGGGACACAACAUCUAGGCGGAUCCUGUAUAAGCUCCCUGGACACACUGGAUGUGUUAAUGAAUGUGUUUUUCAUCCUAAUGAACCAAUUGUUGGAUCUUGCAGUAGUGACAAACACAUGUAUCUUGGUGAGAUUUGAUUAGUAUUACUACCUUGUCUAACCUUGAGCUAAAUAUUUAGGAUGAGAUUUGAGAAGAAGGUGAGGAUUUAUGGAAUGUAAUCAAAGUUUGUGCACACUAUGGGCAAACAUUUGAACUGAGAUGUGGUGAUAUGCUUGCUUCAUUUGGAGUAGUUGAUAGAUGUUAUUGGUGAUUGGGUAGUCAC
rnacentral:misc_RNA from 1 species